rnacentral:rRNA from 1 species
UACGAAGGGGCUAGCGUUGCUCGGAAUCACUGGGCGUAAAGGGUGCGUAGGCGGGUCUUUAAGUCAGGGGUGAAAUCCUGGAGCUCAACUCCAGAACUGCCUUUGAUACUGGCGACCUUGAGUCCGGGAGAGGUGAGUGGAACUGCGAGUGUAGAGGUGAAAUUCGUAGAUAUUCGCAAGAACACCAGUGGCGAAGGCGGCUCACUGGCCCGGUACUGACGCUGAGACGCGAA